UACGUAGGGGGCUAGCGUUGUCCGGAAUUAUUGGGCGUAAAGCGCGUGUAGGCGGUUCGGUAAGUCUGCUGUGAAAGUCGGGGGCUCAACCCUCGAAUGCCGGUGGAUACUGUCGGACUAGAGUGCGGAAGAGGCGAGUGGAAUUCCUGGUGUAGCGGUGAAAUGCGCAGAUAUCAGGAGGAACACCAAUUGCGAAGGCAGCUCGCUGGGACGUUACUGACGCUGAGACGCGAAAGCGUGGGGAGCAAACAGG
rnacentral:rRNA from 1 species